AAGCGCGGUUGGCCUAACUGUGGCUCAUGCCCCUUAUGCAUGCGUGAGAAUGAAUCGGUUGACCACCUCUUCUUCAAAUGUCGUUUCACCAUUCGCCUAUGGGGCUUGGUCAAGGCGUGGCUGCAACUCAUUCACAUUGACACCUCUACUUGGCCCCCGAGGCAUUCCACCUUAGAAUGGUGGCUUGGGUUGACUGAUGCUUCCGUCCCCAACCGGAAGGCCAUGGCCUCGCUCACCAUGCUCACUACAUACAUCUGGACCGAGCGAAACGCUCGUGUAUUCCGCAACAUGGCAGCUCCGCCUACGGUUCUUCUCGACAACAUCAAAAGGGAGGCAUCAUUUUGGGUCGCCGCCGGAGCUAAGAAGCUAGGGUCCAUCAUGCCGGGAGAGUGA
rnacentral:rRNA from 1 species